ACUAUCUGGGGUCACCUGUCCCUCAGUGAGUCCGUCGCAGAAAUCACCGCUUGGUCUGCACCUCGUCGACGUACUCCUCUGUCAACAAUCUCCCGAAGCAAGCUCACAACCUCUUUCUGAGUGCCCUCAAGCUGAUCCAUUCUGUACGACAACGCGUUAUGGGCCUCGACCAAGGCGUCAGGAUAGAUGAUUCUGGUUCCGGGAAAGUACGACUCCGGCAUGCUCACGGAUCCCUCGUAGCCCUCACCAAGGGCGGGACUAGACUGAGAGGGAGGACUGAUCUCUUACAAGCUUGACAUCUGUGGAGCGCCCCCUCCCACUGUGGUCGACAAAAUGUUGAAGGUAGUUCUUAGUAGGAUAAGGAGAUCGUUUCACGUAAGCCAGGAGAUCUGAGAUCAGUAUCCAAGUGGAGAUCCAAGCAACACAAGGGACUCUUUGAUAGUGAAGAUUAAGAAAGGGAAGGCCGACCUCGGUACCCAAUGAACUCGAGCUCAACUGUGCAAAGUUAUAAGAGUGGUAGUUACCUGCCUUAAAGGCUGAUUAACGCUCCUAUUUAUAGUGCUUACUUCCUCGGAUAAUAUCCCUCAUUUGGGUGAGCCCGACUUUACCCAAGGGUCUGAGGGUCUCCCCUCCAGACAGAUGGGACGUUGACGGAUGGAUGGCGGUGCUUUGCCCCCCGGUCCGAAGGGGUAAUGGCGCUCCUUAAUUAUUACAGAUCUUGUCAAAUGUCUUUCGUAAUUAAUGCCCUCUCAUAGCUCGAACUCGAGUACCGAAUGUCCUUUCCCCCUUGCAUUGGCCCCGGACCGAGGCGGUGCCUUGGAUCUCAGCCACUUGUCCACAUACCCUCAGAUUCCCGAACCCAGUAUAGGAGUGAGCCUUUUCCGAGGUUCUGCCUUCUCAACCUCACGAGGCCACAUCCCGACUCUACAUCUCGCGGUCUCUCUAUCCAUAAAGAGGAGUUCACAAAGUAGGGAGCUCGAGGUCACUCCAGCGGGGAGUGACCUCGGAAGGGCAGGAAACCUCGAGGUCGCUUCAGCAGGGGGCGACCUCGGAAGAACGGGAAACCUCGAGGUCGCUCCAGCAGGGGGCGGCCUCGGAAGAACGGGAAACCUCGAGGUCGCUCCAGCAGGGGGCGGCCUCAAAAGAACGGGAAACUUCGAGGUCGCUCCAGCAGGGGGUGGCCUCGGAAGAACGGGAAACUUCGAGGUCACUCCAGCAGGGGGCGACCUCGGAAGAAUAGGAAGGAUGGGCCCAUCCGACUGGAGCGGGGCGCAUCCUUAGGAGAGGAAGGGUAGUGACCCCCUCCUCGUUCAGCAAGUCCAGUUGCGGGACAAGUAGCUCGAGGAUACUUGGUCCCUUUAGGGGUGGGGGCAUGCCAAAUAAGUAUUGGCCAGGUGUGCCUAUUUUCAGAGGUGGCGCCACUUGGACAGCUAGCAUGGUGCGAUCGUCAACAAUGUGUAAUUUCUGAAACUUGUUAUUAUAAAUAGAAUGUGGUGGAAGGAUGAAAGAAUUCUUUCAUUCCUUUUCUCUUUCUGUAAUGUUUCCAUUUUUCUUUUUCUGAAAAUUUUGUUAUUGCAAGGGCAUCUUAGUCUUUUCAUGUUUUGCAUGCCGGACACCAUGGGGUGCGCCUGGUGUGUCGGAGAGUUGUUUGGAGCAUUCCAUUGAGUUUAGGACUCUUGGAAAUGCAAUGUUGGUCAUUUUUGCAUUUUUUCAAUUUUCGGACCGGACGGACCCGUGUGGGACCCGCUACCGGUAUUGUUGUGUACGGGGAUUUUAGUUGGGUUCGUUUGUAUCUCAUUUAUUUUAUUUUAUAUGUUUUAUGUGGUAUUUUAUAUGGUUAUGUACAUAUUUAAUUGUGUGGUGCAAAAUAAGAAUUUAAAAAUAAAGUUAAAAAGGAAAAGAAUUUGGGAAGUGGUGGGACCCACCACCGGCGGCCAAGAGACCACAAUAUGGUCUCAUUCUCUCUCCCUUCUCACAGGUUCUCUCUCUCUCUCUCAAUUUCACUUCAUUUUCUUUUUUCUUUGAAGUUUUGAUUUCUCCCUCAAUACUUGGAAUUUUUGGAAACUGUUGGCGGCAAUUCGAAGAGCACGGCAAGAUCUUCACUUCCAUAUAAGCAAUUUUAGUUUUAGUGCACUCUAGGGAUUCCAAUUUUGAGACCCAUUUUGGGGUUUUUUCAUCCUUCUUGAGGUAGGGGUCUCUAAUUCAUGUUUUUCUUGUGCCUUUGUGAAUUAAUUUCUUGUUAAUUGUUUUUAACGUGUUUAGUUGGUGUUAAUUUCCCCUAAAAUGAUUUAAUUGUGGUGUAUAAAGUUCAUGAUUAUAUGUAUUAGUUGAUUUGUAUGAAAAGCAUGUCUGAGUGUUGAUUUUUUUUGCCUAUUGUGUUGUUAGCUUGCUGGAAAUGAUGUAUGGAAGUAUGUGUAAUUUUCUUAGAAUUUCUUGUAAAGCAUGCUUAAUUGUGUUGUAUGAAAAUCCCUUAUUAUCUUAGCAUUGAAAGUAUGAGUCAUGUAUGCAAUUGCAUUGGGUAUGAAUGAGGGGAAAUGAUUUGAAAUAAAAGAAAAAGAGAUUUUUGGGAAGAAUUUUGAUAAAAUGGUUUUAAGAAAACCCGGUCGCCGCGGAGUUACCAAAGGGCCGUGGUAUUAAUAUAACCUAGAGGGAAUUAGGGAAAUCACCCUAGCGUGGUUGAGCUAGCUGGUCCUAAAUAACACCACGGGAGUACCAAGGGUCAAUGAUAGUGGCCAAUCCUUCUCUCGUGUCGCUGCGGAGUCACCAAAGGACAGACUAUAUUAACAGUUUGAAAAGUGAUGGAUUUGGAUUUUGAAAAUGGAGAGCAACAUACACGGCAUUGCAUCUCAUGGCACGACAUUGUUUACUUUGAAUUUGGAAUUGAUGUUGUAUUCUUUCCCGGCAUAACAUGACCCCUAUCCUCUAUUCUUAUUCAUUAUUUGGAUUCGCGGGGCCACAAGAGGUGUGUCUUAGGCACCACCUACUGAGCAAUUUGCUCACCCCCUUAUAUUUAACGUUUUUCAGGUCAUGGAAAGGAGAUGGCGAAUGAUAAUCCUCCACAUGUUUGAAGAGGACUUGGAGUUCAUUUCUUUUGCUAUCUUUUGUAAUUAGGCCAUUCUUUUGUAAAAGCCUUAUUGUAGAAAUGCAAUUAAGUUAGCUGCCUUGGCCUUGUAAUUUACCUAUGAACUUGACUCUAAUUUGUCGGAUAUUUGAACAAGAAUGUAAAAACAAUGUAUCAUAUAUAUAUAUUUGAAUGGUUGAUGGAGUUGCCUUGUAUAUAAAAUGUUAAGGAUCAUGACCAUGAUAUGUAGUUUACCACUUGGGGAGUUUUUAGAACAAGUUUGAAGCAGGUUUGCAAAGUUUUCUAUAGACUAUUUUUCAUUUUCAGGAUUUUCAGCAUUUCCAGUAGCUGGGGUAGCGCGCAGAGCCAUUUCGGUCAACCGAAAUGCCUGCUUCGGUCGACCGGUUCGUUCAGAGAUUUCAGUAGUUGUUGAAGUCCCAUUUCGGUCGAUUGGUUCAAGGGAGUUGCUUCGGCCGACCGAAGCCCUAUUUCGGUCAAUCAAAGUGCAUCUGUCCUGUACAUUUUGUUCUCCUCUCCAAUGUAAUUAAUCCUAAACCUUGGAGAUUUGUUUUGAGCCGUUGUGAAAGCCUAGUGAUGAUCUUAAAGGUGAUGUUUUGACAUUAGAAAUGACGGGUUUGACAUAGAUGACCUCGGGUUCGAGUAAGGACCUAGCUAACGGUUCGGACCUCCGGGUUCGGGUCAUUACACUUUCCCCAUCUCUCUUUCUUUUUCUCUCAUCCGCUUUCUUCUUCUUCUUUAUCACUUACUCUUGAUUUGAUUAUAUCUUAAAGUCAACAUGGUAUUAGAGCAUGGUUUGUAAAGCUCUAGGUGUGUAGUUGAAACCCUAGGGCAAGUUUGUGUAAACCCUAGUGGGUGUGAAGGGUUUUGAAGAGAUUCCAAGAUGGGGUUUGUUUGCAAGGAAGUAGUGUUAAUCACAGGACGUACCGCGGAUCCAACUCUGAAAUUGACAACUUUGCACAAGUUUUUAAGCCCAGUCCAUAUACAAAGAAUAGACUCUGAAUAGUGAACUUCAACCACAUCUUUCUGGGAUCUUAAUUUAAUCUCUUCUAGUAGAAACUGAAAAGUAGAAAGUUGCGAGCUUUUGUUGAUCCUAGAGAGAUGUUGCAGUGUAUAUUUCUUCUAUCAGAUUCUGGGUAAGUUACAAUUUUUUUUAGCACUCUUUUAUCUUCAUUUCUUCGUACUUAUAAUUAUUUGAACCAUAAACAUCUUCGUUUCCCAAAUUCACUACCUUGAUCUGUCUGUAUAUCUUAUCCAUGUUAUAAAUAUCGAAUUGUUUAUUGUUUUGCCGAAUUUUGCAUAGUGAGGUAUUGGGUUGCCGAGAAGUCGAUGGAAAAUAAAAGAGAACUUUAGAAUUUUACAAUUACCAUUCAUACCAGUGCCUUUAUGUAUAAGAUUCUGAUAGAAUUGGAAUCAAACUGAUAUUUACUAUUUUUAGUCAUCUGAAUUGGGGAAAAAGAAUGAAGAUAUGUUUUCAUAUGAUAUACUUACUGUGAUUCCAAUCAUUGGUUUUUAAAAUGAGGGGAAAAAAAAAAAAAUUUGUUUGUGAUUUGUAUAUGUAUUUACAGGGAGGUAAUGCUAACAGGCACCGGGUUGAGUGGGCCAUUUGUGUUUGAUUUUGGGAGCAAGCAAUCUCUCAGGGUGAUCCCUUCAAGGUUGCACCUGUAAUUGCUUCACCGACACAUUACCUUUUCCAAGUUGUUCGCAUGCACCCAGGUUGAAAUGCCGCCUUUAAUGGGAAUUGAGGUCUUGGAAAAGAAUCGGCGGAUGCCAAUCCACCUCAAAAUUGAAAGUUGUUAGAAGAUGAUUUUUGCUAUUUUGUAUUUGGCCAUUUCAUGUAUAAUUAUAAUUUUUGGAGAAUGUAAAUAAGUUUGCAAUGUUGGCCAUUGGAUGAUGUAAUUAAGUUUUAUUCAAUCAUAAGCCUUUUGUGUAUUUAA